rnacentral:rRNA from 1 species
AUGACUCUCUAGCUUGCUAGAGAUGAUUAGUGGCGGACGGGUGAGUAACAUUUAGGAAUCUACCUAGUAGUGGGGGAUAGCUCGGGGAAACUCGAAUUAAUACCGCAUACGACCUACGGGUGAAAGGGGGCGCAAGCUCUUGCUAUUAGAUGAGCCUAAAUCAGAUUAGCUAGUUGGUGGGGUAAAGGCCCACCAAGGCGACGAUCUGUAACUGGUCUGAGAGGAUGAUCAGUCACACCGGAACUGAGACACGGUCCGGACUCCUACGGGAGGCAGCAGUGGGGAAUAUUGGACAAUGGGGGCAACCCUGAUCCAGCCAUGCCGCGUGUGUGAAGAAGGCCUUUUGGUUGUAAAGCACUUUAAGCAGGGAGGAGAGGCUAAUGGUUAAUACCCAUUAGAUUAGACGUUACCUGCAGAAUAAGCACCGGCUAACUCUGUGCCAGCAGCCGCGGUAAUACAGAGGGUGCGAGCGUUAAUCGGAAUUACUGGGCGUAAAGCGAGUGUAGGUGGCUCAUUAAGUCACAUGUGAAAUCCCCGGGCUUAACCUGGGAACUGCAUGUGAUACUGGUGGUGCUAGAAUAUGUGAGAGGGAAGUAGAAUUCCAGGUGUAGCGGUGAAAUGCGUAGAGAUCUGGAGGAAUACCGAUGGCGAAGGCAGCUUCCUGGCAUAAUAUUGACACUGAGAUUCGAAAGCGUGGGUAGCAAACAGGAUUAGAUACCCUGGUAGUCCACGCCGUAAACGAUGUCUACUAGCCGUUGGGGUCCUUGAGACUUUAGUGGCGCAGUUAACGCGAUAAGUAGACCGCCUGGGGAGUACGGCCGCAAGGUUAAAACUCAAAUGAAUUGACGGGGGCCCGCACAAGCGGUGGAGCAUGUGGUUUAAUUCGAUGCAACGCGAAGAACCUUACCUGGUCUUGACAUAGUGAGAAUCUCUUAGAGAUGAGAGAGUGCCUUCGGGAACUCACAUACAGGUGCUGCAUGGCUGUCGUCAGCUCGUGUCGUGAGAUGUUGGGUUAAGUCCCGCAACGAGCGCAACCCUUUUCCUUAUUUGCCAGCGGGUUAAGCCGGGAACUUUAAGGAUACUGCCAGUGACAAACUGGAGGAAGGCGGGGACGACGUCAAGUCAUCAUGGCCCUUACGACCAGGGCUACACACGUGCUACAAUGGUAGGUACAGAGGGUUGCUACACAGCGAUGUGAUGCUAAUCUCAAAAAGCCUAUCGUAGUCCGGAUUGGAGUCUGCAACUCGACUCCAUGAAGUCGGAAUCGCUAGUA